rnacentral:rRNA from 1 species
GAUGAACGCUGGCGGCGUGCCUAAUACAUGCAAGUCGAGCGAACGGACGAGAAGCUUGCUUCUCUGAUGUUAGCGGCGGACGGGUGAGUAACACGUGGAUAACCUACCUAUAAGACUGGGAUAACUUCGGGAAACCGGAGCUAAUACCGGAUAAUAUUUUGAACCGCAUGGUUCAAAAGUGAAAGACGGUCUUGCUGUCACUUAUAGAUGGAUCCGCGCUGCAUUAGCUAGUUGGUAAGGUAACGGCUUACCAAGGCAACGAUGCAUAGCCGACCUGAGAGGGUGAUCGGCCACACUGGAACUGAGACACGGUCCAGACUCCUGCGGGAGGCAGCAGUAGGGAAUCUUCCGCAAUGGGCGAAAGCCUGACGGAGCAACGCCGCGUGAGUGAUGAAGGUCUUCGGAUCGUAAAACUCUGUUAUUAGGGAAGAACAGAUGUGUAAGGAACUGUGCACAUCUUGACGGUACCUAAUCAGAAAGCCACGGCUAACUACGUG